CGGGCGAGGGACUCGGGAGGGGCUCCCGGAGCCCGACUGAGCGCCUCCCACCUCAGACCAGCCCGGCUCCCGCCUCAGAGCCGGGGGGCUGGGACGCUGCGCCCUGCAGCCAAUCAGCAGCCGCCGGGACGCGGGAGGGAUUGUGAGUGGAGGGGCGGGGGGAAUGCAGGAGAGGCGGGGUGGGGUGGGGUGGGGGCUCCAGCUGCCUCUCCAGGGUCAGUUUCAGGGGAGAAGAUGGAUUUGAACUUGGGCACCCCAGCGCAUGGCCGGGGCGGAGAGCAAGGUUCCCUGGUCUCCAAGCCCAGCGGAGGGGCGUGGUGGCGGUGGGCCCUGCCUCUCCCGCAGCGGCUCCUACUCCUCCCGCACGUCCCUCGCAUCGCCCCUCUCCUCCCAGCUGCCUCUUCCUCCCUUCCAAGGCUCUGGGUCCCACGCUGAGGAGUCUACACCCGGGACCUCUGUCAGACACUUCAUGUGUGCCAGUCAAGACCAACCGUGUCAUUUGCAGGGUUCAAUGCAAGAUGAAAACACAGACUUCCUUUUGUCAAAAAUCAUUAAGAAUUCCGAAACAGUACCAGCAAAGUCUUAACCCAAGCAUGGAGCCCUUCAAAGCGUGGGACCCUGAGGGAUCGCACAGGUCACACACCCACAAGGCCAGUCCUACUUCAGAUUCAAAGGUGAGUGAUGGGUUAACAGUUAGGAGGGUUCAUGGAGAGGCAGCUGCCUCUUAACUCGCAUUGUCCUCACGGAAGCACUGGAAGGGAGCGAUGUUUAUUAGCACCCUUUGAGAUGUGAGAAGACCAAGGCACGGAGAAGGUCAGCAGUUUGCCCAAGGCCCCGGGCGCUGGGAUUGAGUUCAGGGCAGUCUUACUCCACAGCCCAUGCGGUGAAACCAUUGUGAAGCUUAGCCUGGCAGAAGGAUAGGUAGAGGGCAGACAGCUGUCACACACUGUGACACAGGCUCCUUCACUGUCCCUGGCAUCAAGUGGCAUGCCAGCCAUAGAAGUCUUUAUUUAAUAACAUCUUAAAUUUAUAUGUUCAUGUAUUUGAAAGGCAGAGUAACAGAGAGAGGGAAAGGCAGACAGAAGGAGAGACAGAGAGAGAAAGAGAGAGAGAGAGGGAUCUGCCAUACCCAAAUGGCCAAAACAACAGGGCUAGGCCAGGUUGAAGCCAGGUGCCAGGAGCUCCAUCCAGGUCUCCCAUGUGGGUGGCAGGGAUCCAGGUACCUGGGCCAUCUUCCACUGCCCUCCCAGGUGCAUUAGCAGGGAGCUGGAUGGGAAGUAGAGUAGCUGGGACCCCAACUGGUGCUCUGAUAGGGAAUGUGGGUGUCCCAAGUGACAGCUUACCCACUGCACCACAGUGUCCUCCCCAGGAAAUAAAUGAGUCACCAAUAAAAAUAAUACA
rnacentral:lncRNA from 1 species